UCUCUCUCAGAGAUUGCAGAGAGUCUUCUAGGUCGCCACGCCUCCACUACCUCCGUAAAACCCCCAACACCCUCCCAUAUCUCAACGAAACCACCCCAAACCCUAUCCUUCGUCUUCGUCCUGUAUUUUAUAAAAGAAAGCUUCUUAAUUUUUGGUUUGCUUUGAGUAUUCCCAAUUGGUUGCAAACUUGUGUUUGUUUGCUGCCAAUCCUAAAGGAUCAAUUGGCUAAGAUUGUUGAGGAGGAGUUGAUACCAAUCAAUUGCGGAAACAAUGGCGAGGAGAAAUUUCUAAACAAUUAUGCGGACCAUAGGCCCACUCCUCUCCAAGUCCCUCUUCAAUUAGAGUAUAAAUUGGUCUCACUUCGACUUUAGUGGUCUAACUUCCGGGAGCACAGCUUGUGUUGCAAUUAUUAGAAACAACCAACUUGUUGUUGCCAAUGCUGGUGAUUAUCGUUGUGUCAUAUUGAGGAAGGGUCAGAUAAGAGAUCAAAGAUGUGCUAAAUUCACACUCCAUUUUGUCCAGCUUAGGGAAAGGGUGAUGCUGCAACUUAAGCUUGGGAAAAUCACUGCUACUUGAAAGAAUAUUGAAAGAGUUCGUAUGUUCAUUGGUCUUUUUUGUUGAAGGUUGCAGCUACACUGACUUUUGAAGAAGAAUAUUUAGUUUUUAUUUUUAUUUUUA